AUUUUUGAGGUUGCUACCUCAACUAUUUUGGUUGCUAAUGCUAGUCAAUCCAUGCCUACUAGAUUCCUUUGGGGAAUGCCACCAAACUUUAUGCCCGAAGGUUAUUCACCCACAUUUGUUUCUAUACCGACAUCUAGCCCGGUCAUGUAAGUGCUUCCUCCAACUGUUCACACUCUGCCUCGUGUUGAGGAUAGUAUUUACCAUUAUGAGCCGUCUGAGGGCCCAUAUGUAUAUGAGAAGAUGGAUGAGAUGAAAGACCAAUUCCUCGAGUUGCAUAAAGAGUUAAAGACUCUAAGAGGGAAAGACUUGUUUGGGAAGAGUGUUGUCGAGCUCUGCUUGGUCCCCAAUGUUAAGAUCCCAGUGAAAUUCAAGGUCCCCGACUUUGAAAAGUACAAAGGGAAUACCUGCCCACUAAGCCAUCUUGUGAUGUACGCCAUAAAAUUGUCUACUCAAAUUGAUAACGAUCAGUUGUUGAUUCACUAUUUCCAAGACAUUUUGACUAGAGCUUCCUUUAGGUGGUAUAUGGGUUUAGACAGUGCAAGCAUUCGUAUUUUCAAUGACUUAGGUGAGGCCUUUGUCAAAUAAUAUAAGUACAACAUGGAUAUGGCGCCUGAUAGAGACUAGUUGAGAUCUAUGUCUCAGAAGGAUAAGGCAACAUUUAAAGAGUAUGCUCAGAGAUGGAGAGAGCUUGCUGCCCAGAUAAGUUCACCACCUAAGGAGAAGGAAAUGACAAAAAUAUUCUUGAAGACAUUAAGUUCAUUUUAUUACGAACGUAUGAUUGCAAGUGCCCCCAAUGAUUUUACCGAAAUGGUAAACAUGGGGAUGAGGCUAGAAGAAGGAGUCAGUGAAGGACGUUUGUAUAAGAAAGAAGCAUCAGCCAACAAGAAGUACAGUGGGAAUUUCUCCAAGAGAAAGGAAGGAGAAACCAACUCAGUGUCAAUAGGGAGGCAAAAGAGGCCUCAUGUCAUAAAAAGUUAUCAACCUCGACAACAUCAACAUCAAGUUUCUUCAUUAAUUCUGGUUUUUUCCAACAAUUCUAAUCAAUCAGUUCCCUUUCAACAUCAACAACCGCAACAAAGAACCAACUACAACAACAACAACAACAAUCAUCAUCAAUAAAAUUUCAAGAAGAAGAAGGUCUCCUUUGACCCUAUUCCUAUGACGUAUGCAGAGUUAUACCUAUCGUUGGUUCUCAAGAACCUUAUUCAUCCAAGAAAUCCUCCACAAAUUCCUGAGCCACUACCAUGGUGGUUCAAGCCUGAUCUUCAUUGUGCUUUACACCAGGGAACCCCUGGCCAUGAUAUAGAGAAUGGCUAUUCUCUAAAAUAUGAAGUUCGGAAGCUUGUGAAGAGUGGUAUGGUGCCCUUUGAGGACAGAGCGCCAAAUGUGAAAGCUGAUCUGUUGCCCGCUCAUGGUAACACUUCCAUCAACAUGGUGGACAACUGUCUAGGGAAUUUCCGAGUCUUUGAUGUGUGACGUAUCUGUAGGUCAUUAGUGGAAAUGCAUAGAACUUUGUGUUUAAUUAGUGACUGUGAACAUGACCAUGAUGGUUGUUCAAUCUGUAGCGUGAGCCCCCGUGGGUGUAUGGUUGUCAAGAGAGAUAUCCAAAAGUUGAUAGAUGAGAAUGUAAUCCAGAUUCAACAAUCGAGGGAUAUAGAUGAUAUGAGUGUGAUUGUGCUAGUGUUCAAGACCCCUGAGCGAGUAGUCAUUCAAUUUGAUAGUAGUAGCAACAACAAUGUUAAUAGAUUGGUAUUACCGUUGGUUAUACGGUUAGUGGACCCCGUCCCCUACUCAUCCGAUAAAUCUAUGCCAUAUCAGUAUAAUGCCAUAAUGAUUGAAGAUGGUCAAAACGUUCCUCUACCAGUCACAAAUUCAGUGGUGAAUAUUUCAGAUAUUGCGAAGGUGACCUGUAGCGGUCAUGUGUUUAGUCCAGUGUUUCCCAAAGUUGUGGAAGAUGUGACAACAAGUAAGAAAGCAGAGAUUCUAUUGGUGAAUCCGAUUAGUGCUACAAUAUGUCAUUCUGGUGAGUCCAGCAAGUUGAAGACUAACAAUGAUGAUGAAGUGCUAAAGUUGAUAAAGAGAAGUGAGUUCAAUGUGGUAGAGCAGUUGCUCCAGACUCCGUCAAAGAUCUCCGUGUUGUCAUUGUUGAUGAAUUCUGAAGCACGUAUGGAGGUAUUGCAGAAAGUAUUGGAACAGGCUUAUGUUGAGCAUGGCGUGACUGUGGAUCCAUUUGACCACAUAGUUGCCAACAUUACUUGUAAUAAUUUGAGUUUUUGUGAUGAAGAGCUUCUCGAGGAAGGCAGAAAUCACAAUCUAGCACUCCAUAUUUCUAUGAAUUGCAAGGAGGACGCUCUGUCCAAUGUUUUCGUAGACACUGGUUCAUCGUUCAAUGUAUUACCAAAAUCAACUUUGUCAAGACUCUUUUAUCAAGGCGCCCCGAUAAGGUACAUCGAAGUGGUUGUCAAAUCGUUCGACGGUUCUCAUAAAAUUGUCAUUAGAGAAGUGGACCUUCCAGUUAAGAUAGGUCCGAGUGAUUUCCAAUUACUCUUCAGGUAAUGGAUAUCCACCCGACCUACAGUUUCUUGUUGGGAAGGCCAUGGAUUCAUGAAGUUGGAGUUGUGACAUCUACUCUACACCAAAAGCUGAAAUUUGUGAAGAACGACAAGCUUGUCGUUGUUGUUGGAGAGAAGGAAUUAUUGGAAAGCCAUCUGUCAUCUUUCACGUAUGUUGAGGCUGAUGAGGAGGUUAGAAUGCCAUUCCAAGCCUUAUCUAUUGCUGAUGAAAUGAAGAAAACUGGGGCACCCAUGUCUUCUUUGAAAGAUGCACAAGAGGCCAUUCAAGAUAGAAGUAUUGACAAGUGGGGGCGUGUUGUGGAGAUCGUCGAGAACAAGAAUAGAGUCGGACUAGGAUUUCAACCAGGGUCAUACAGCGCCAAAGCCAAAGUUAUGCAACCUGUAUUCCUCAGUGGAGGGUUCACUCACGAGAAUGAUCAACACACAGUUGCCAUUAUUGAAGACAAUGGUGAUGAACACGAAGCUUGCGCCAUCUUUGUGACGCACGACCAAACUUGCAACAAUUGGGUUGCUAUUGAUGUUCCCGUUGCCAUUCAUCGUUCUAAGUAAUUUGUUUUCUAUUGUUUUGAGAAAAAUCCUUCUCUUAUUCCUAAGAGAGAAGUGAAUAUUGUUGGGAAUUUUUAUUAUUAUCAUCAAUAAAAUUCAAUUUUAUUCAUCCACAUUUAUGAUAUUUUAUUUUCGCUUUUUGCUUUUUCUGAAAAUGGCAAUCACAAAAAACAUAUAAUAAAUCCUUCCAUUUGCAUAAUGUUUGUUUGCACUCCACUUCUCUAAAAUAAAAAUAUCAAAUCAUUAUGCAAGUUGGUUCUCAAACCCAUUGAAUACAAUGAUCAUACUCCCUCUCCAAACUUUGAUUUCCCUAUGUUUGAAGCUAAGGAAGAGAAUGAUGAUGAAGAAGUAUCAGAUGAGUUAUCCUGUUUGCUUGAGUACGAGGAAAAGGCCAUUCAGUCGUUUGAAGAGCAAAUUGAAUUAGUCAACUUGGGUUUCGAUGAUGAUGUAAAGGAAGUCAAGAUUGAGUCUCAACUGUGUCCAAAAGCUAACAAGGGGUUGAUUGAUCUUCUUCGAGAUUAUUCUGAUAUGUUUGCUUGGUCCUAUCAAGACAUGCCUGGGUUGGAUUCUGAGAUUAUGGAGCAUAGAUUGUUGUUGAAGCCAGAUUGCCCGUCGGUCAAACAAAAGUUGAGAAGAACUCAUUAUGAUAUGGCAGUAAAGAUCAAAGAGGAAGUGUAGAAGCAGAUUAACACGAGUUUUCUUGUUACCUCCGAAUAUCCACAGGGGUGGCCUAUAUUGUGCCUGUUCCGAAGAAGGAUAGAAAAGUACGCAUGUGUGUUAAUUAUAGAGAUUUGAAAAAAGCUAGUCCGAAAGAUUAUUUUUCUCUGCCACACAUUGAUAUGCUAGUAGACAAUACAACUAAAUUCAAAGUCUUUUCGUUUAUGGAUGGAUUUUCCGGUUACAAUCAAAUCAAGAUGGAACCUGAAGAUAUGGAGAAUACCAUAUUCAUUACACCUUGGGAAACAUUCUGUUACCGAGUGAUGCUCUUUGGUUUAAAGAAUGUUGGUCCAAUGUACCAGAGAGCUAUGACCAUUUUUCUGAACUCCCGCCUUGGUGAUUUUACCUCCCCAUGCAGAUUUGGUGUGUAUGUCCUUCUUCAUUUGUAGAGUGUCACCCAUUAAGUAGAAAGAGUUUAACUUUUCUCAUUCCCCACUGAGUUAUUUCCUCGUGGAUCAUUAUUAUUUCAGUUUCCUCCCCAGCUACUUAUCUGGAUGGAACCACUCAUCUUAAGUUAUAUCCUCAUUAGGUUGAGUCUUUGUUUGACCGUUGAAGCGCCGCGAAAAAUGCAGAGUCACCACCGGAUUUUAUUUAUUCCAAAGGAAAUGGAAAAUAGCGAUAAAACCCCAAAUGAAAGAAAUGGUCUCGCAAUGAAGAGAGGAUUCGGAAGUCGGUUAUGCAAGGGGAAGGUAUUAGCACCCCUCACAUCCAUGGUACUCCAUGGGAACCACUUACUCGUACCAAUGUGUAUGGAUGUUUAUUUAUCUGUAAGUUGCUUGCUACUGGGAAUGAGAUGAAAAAAAUGAGAUGGGAGAGAAAAUAAGUUUUAAGUUAGUGUGCUCGCCAAGGAUUUGGACACGCGUACCUACAUAUCCCCAUACAUGCAAUAGGGAAGUCAUAGCUUCGUAGUUCGGCUCAAAAAUGGAGUAUUUGUUUGGUUGUUUUAAUUAAACAACAUUGACAUUCGUGCGUUACUGUUCACUCGCUUGUAUACUCUGUCAUGGGAACGGAAAGUAUUUGCUUGUUUGCGGUAAAGUGGAUACGCUUGGUUCACACUCUAGCAGUUAAACAUUACUUGCUCACAUAUGGAGACUUAAGCUUCGUUCACGAUAGAAUGGAAGUAACAUGUCCUUUGAAAGGUUUUGAAGAGAAAUCCCUAAGGCAAAAGAUAAUUUGAUUUGGUAGGGUUGAUUUUAUAUGUGGAGACAAACAUCAGACCCUUGGCUAGAUACAGUCAACAAUCUGAUAACUCGGGAGUUGAGAGGACAAUGUUGUCCUAAUAACUCUUUUUCAUCCAAAAAGAGUUUUGAAUUGUGAAAAGAGUUUGGCAAAUCUAAUCAUUGGAACUUAGAGGGCGACGAGUAUCUGACCCUUGACUAAGUAUGGUCAACGAUCAGAGUACUUGGGAAUCGAGAGGACCAUGGAGUCCUAACUACUCUUUUUCUCUACCUCCUAGCCCCUAGAUCUAACUUGUUUGAAUUAUUACAUGUUUUAAGGGGGAAAGUCAAAUGUCGAGUCCUCGGGCUAGGUACAGUCGACAACCCAAUUACUUGAAUGUUGUAUACAAACACGUACACCCAAUUUGACAUUCCAAUUUGUUAUGAAAAUGAUUUUGAAAAAGGUAUUUGAUGUUGGAUCAAGCAUUUGAACUUAUUAUGAAAAUAGUGAGUGAAGAAUAAAGGUGAGAGAUAGAAUGAAUCAAAAUCAACAUGUGGACACAAAACAAUAAACAAGUUAGCAUGAGAUAAAGUCGAAUGAAUGAGAAUGAUGCAACAAUAUGUAACUACAUACAAUAGUUAGAAUCUAUUCGAAAGAUAAUGGAUUAAUCAAUGAAAAACAAUCAAAGAUCUAUCCUAUGAUCACGACAAAUGGAAUUAGACAUACAAAGUAUUCAUCAUCUAAAUUGAAAUGGGAUUUUCAAUUUAAUCAUAUGAUCAUACACCAAAGGAAUUGAUUAAAUGGACAAUUAAAAUGAACAUUAAUUCUAAAGGGUAAAAUCCACAUAAACAUGAAUUAGGAAUUACUAAUCUAAAUGUUAAAUUCACAAUCCGAAUUCAAGAAUUGAAUCUAAACUACAUGAUUAUAAAAAUUAAUCACACGAUAGUCUAAUAAUGGGAAAUAACCUAAUGGGGAAAUCAUGGUAUAAUAAAUAUCUAACUAUAUUAAUCUCAAAAAAAUUCCACAAAAUGAAAUAACCAAAAUCUAAUGACUAAAACCUAAUCAAAACAUGGUUAGUCAAUGAAGAAUUAAUUUUGGAAAAUUAAGAAAUUAAAAUCUAAUUUAAAAACUCGAUUAAACCUAAUUUCUAAUUAGAUACUUAAUUAAACCUAAUUAACUAGUCAAACAAUUAAUCAACAAAAAUAAUGAAUUAAAUCCUAAUAUCAAACAUCAAGAAAUUACCUAAUUCUAAAAUCAAAAUUAACAAAAAAGGAACAAUGUUAAUCACACAAAAGAGAAAUUAAAAAUAAACUAACAAGAAUUAAUCAAUGAUUAGUGAGGGAAUAUGGACAAAGUUAUGAGCAAAGCAAUGGGCCACAAGGGGGUGUGAAUGUUAAUUGCUCAUUGGGCCAAAUGCCCAGUCCCUGAAAACCCAUGCUUGAUCCAACGCACGCCCGUGAUGAAGACUCUCCAAGACUCCGAGACCACGAUGCCAAGAGUCCAUAAGAAACGGCGACGUCGAAAUUCCGCUUUAUAAAACCCGGUUCCCAAUCGUGAAAUCUCAAACUUCUGAAAUCCAAGACUAAUCGCGAGCAUCUUUUCUUCUGUACGAAGAGGAAGACAAGAUCUGAUCGCGUUCGGCGUCAUCUUGGAAAAAGAAUUUCUGACUGAAAUUGUACGUGAAAAAAAAUAGAAGCGACUGAGGAAUGAGCCCUACCGGAGUUAGGAACCGCGUAUAGUGUUGAUGUUCAAGGUGAAGUUAGAUCUGUGCAUGUUGUUUGAAGAUGAAAGCAAAAUCCUCCGCGUUCAUAAUUUAUGGUGAGAUGAAGAUGAAUGCCUUCGCUUUCCAUUUUUGUUGAUUGAGACAAAGAUUAAGAUCUCCAACUCCCGCCGUUGUGAAUUGGUAGGCCUCUACUUCCUUUUUCAUUUUCUUCUAUUUGAUAUUCUGCUUCAAUUUCGUCUCUCUUCUUCUGUUUCGAUUCCGUUUCUCUUCUUCUUCUGUGUGUGGCCGUGUUGUUGUUGAGGUUUAGGAUUGGUGGAGGUUGUUCUUGGGAGGUUGAGAGUUACGCGAGGUGUGGUUUUUCUACAAGGUGUCGAAGUGUUAUCAUAGUUAAGGGAUUGGGAAAGAGAGGUUUGGUUGGUCGGUUCAAGGAGAGAGAUUGGAGGGUUUUGGAGGAUGAUGAUUGUUGUGUGAAUGGAAGAUUAUGGACGAGAAGUUAUGGUUAUGAAUAGAAGAUGGAGGGUGGUUGAGGAAGAAGUUUGUAUCCGUUUCUUGCAAGGCAUUGAAGAAAACGGUUGAGAAGAAAAAAUGAAGAUGAAUUUCGUUCUCCAGGUGCAGGGGAAGCAAUUUUGGUUAAGUAAUUUGUUGAAGAGAGAAAAAAAAUCGCUCCUGGGGUUGUAUUGUUAUGUAAUUCUCUUUUCGUUGUUGGUGAGUGAAGAAGGCUGUUAUGGGAAGUUUUUUUGGGCUGAGAAAAUCGGUUAACAGUUGGUUAUUCGGUUGAAGAGUUGGUUAGGUUUGAGAGAAUUCAAUUACGUUUCGGUUAUUUCCGUCGGUUAGGGGAAGUUAGGAGGUGAUUCUUGUUCUGGAAAUUAUUGAGGUUUAGAGUUAUCGGCAAAAUUCUCUUUUGAUUGUUGGAGGUUCAAAAUUAGUUAUGAGUUUGUUAGGGAAGGUUCAUUGAAUGAUGAGGUUCUCUUUCUGUUAUCCUAGAAAUUCUCUCAUCCACUUCUCUUUCUAUUAUAUGGAGGGUGAAGUAGUUAGAAUGAGAGGUUGGUUGCAAGUUGUUGAAGGGUUCGUAUAUGAGUUGUUGGUUGAAGGUUUUGAUGGUUAUCAGUUAUGGAAAUUUGGUGGGUUAGAGGGGAUGAGGAGGGUGGUUUCGAUUCUAUUUUUGAGGUUUUUUAUGAGGGUUCCUUGAAGGGUUAUUGAAGUGGAUUGUGAUAUUUUGUUGAAGUUGGAAGUUCGUUUUCUGCAGGUUAUCGGUUUCGUCAUGCUACCGGUUAUAGAAGUGUUUUGUUAGAGUUGUAUUCCAUAAUUAGAUUGUUGUUAUCAGUUUUUCUUUAAUGUACAUUAAUUAAUGGAUUAAUGAUUAUGGAUGUAAAAGAUCAAUUUUUAGAUUCAAUUGGAAUUAAUGGAUAAUUGGGCUUGUACAGGUUUGGAUUAAAAUCGGAUUGGUAAUAUGGACAUGGUUUGGAUUUAUGGAUUUGAGGUUAUGAAUUAAAAUGAAUUUGGAUAAUGAAAAAACUUGGAUUUAAAAAUGGAUUUAGGAUAUGGAUUGGAUAAGUGGAUCAAAAAUUGUUAAAUGAAAAAAAGAUUGGAUAUUGAAAAUGAAAUGGUCAUUGUAUUGGAUUUGAAAUGGGUUGAAAUGUGAUUAUGAAUGGUUUUAAAAAUAUGAUGAUUAAAAAUGGACUAAAAAAUAUGAAAAUGACUAAGAAAUGGUUUUUGGUUAUCAGGUUGACUUUGGUCAACUGGUUGACCAAAAAGUCAACUUAUGUAAAAACACGCAUUUUCUGAUGGAAAACGAAAAUGGACCAUGAUGACAAUGUAACGCAUGGAUGAACUGGAACUAUUAAGAAUUGAUCAUCUAUUGAACCAAACAUAACUCAAGGUCUGAACCAACUAUGAACAUGUAUGCAUCAUGACUGCGUGUGGAUAUGACUGAAAAGCCUAAUGUUCUUAAACCAAAUAAAAUAUGUCAAUCCAAGACUCAAAAUCCAAUCAUUCAAAGCCAACCAAAUGAUACUUAAUCAGGCAACCGGUUGUGGCACCUUGAAUGAAUCUUAAUUAAUGAACCAGAACCAUGAAUCUUAAGCAAACAACUGAAUCAUUUAUAAUGAGCCAAAUGAAUCAGAUGUAACCUCCCUAAAUUAGGGUUUCCUGAUGAAUACAUGCAAGAUGAAAAGUUCAAACACAACCAUGUGUCGCAACGCGAAAAACAACCGGCGGAAAAAAUACAGAGCCGUCACCGACGCUAUUCAUCCUAUGACGGAAAGGGAGCAUAGGACUAACCUAAGAAAGGGAAAGGAACGGUCUUACGACCAGAGAUUACAAGGUACGGGAGUCGGUUACGCAAGGGGAAGGUAUUAGCACCCCUCACGUCCGCCGUACUCGACGAGAUCCACGCUCAUACCUAAGAAAGGGAAAGGAACGGUCUUACGACCAGAGAUUACAAGGUACGGGAGUCGGUUACGCAAGGGGAAGGUAUUAGCACCCCUCACGUCCGCCGUACUCGACGAGAUCCACGCUCAAAAGAUAUCUCAAAGGAAAGGAAAAGGUUGCUAAUAAACUGCUCAAAGAAACUGCACAAACUGGAAUGAUAAACAGGUGGGUGAAAGAAAGAAAACGGAGGAAGUGGACUCGGCAGGAUGUCGCAUCCUGGGCCUACGUAGUUUGUCAGAAACAAACAUCAGAGUCAACGUAGUUCGGGAAAAAGAGACAUGCUCGCUAGGAUAUCGCAUCCUAUGCCUACAUAUCUUCUCUGUCCAGAGGAGAAUCAGAGCACUCGUAGCACGGCUAACGCACGCCGAAACAAACACCAAAAAGGAAAGGGACGCUGAGACAUCAAAAGAAACACCCAAAAAGGAAACAGAAUGCCAAUACAUGGACUUACACCCGACUCCCAACAAUAACGAACAAGGAAACAGAAUGCCAAUACAUGGACUUACACCCGACUCCCGACAAUAACAAACAAGGAAACAGAAUGACAAUACAUGGACUUACACCCGACUCCCAACAAUAACAAACACUAACCAGCGAACACCAAAGAAAAAUGUUAUCGGAACGAACCCCCACAAGGUAACCAAAUGCCCAAAGAUGAACCCCAAAGAUUAACAAUCUUCACAAAUGAACCCCGAAGAUGAACCCCAAUCAUCACAAAUGAACCCCAAGAUGAACCCCGAAUGAAUGACAACCGUCAUAAAUAAACCCCGAAGAUGAACCCCGAAUGAAUGACAACCGUCAUAAAUGAACCCCAAUGUGAAUAACAUCACACACACAUGCUAAACAAACGGGUACUCGUACCAAAGAAAAACCAACAAAGGAUGAACAAACACCAAAACAAAGAAAAGGGUGCCCGAAGAGAUUGCUCGCAACCUCCUGCCUACGUAUCUCAUCUGGUAUGAGAAUCAGGGCGACGUAGUUCCCCUUAACAGGGGUAAAACACUCUCCUAACCAGAGACCAGGGAAACAACAAACUAAUAGGGAUUAUCUCAUCUGGUAUGAGAAUCAGGGCGACGUAGUUCCCCUUAACAGGGGUAAAACACUCUCCUAACCAGAGACCAGGGAAACAACAAACUAAUAGGGAGACUAAGACUCGAGCCUAAUAGUUGUCACGCAAUCAACAUCCCUAAAUUGAGGUCUCUAAUAAGAAUUUGACUCACUCUGGAAGCGAGUCAACUCAAGUCUAAACUCUACAUACGUUCAACUUCCUCAGAAAUUAAUCGUACGACUCCUACAGAAAAGGAGAUGAGAAGAGGAAAUCAAAUAAACACACCAACACAAGUGAACAAGCAUCACACACUAUAUCCAUACAAAAGGCUCAAACAAUGGGUGGCCUUUAGUCAAGAGAGGUCAUGUCAACCUCGACAAACAAGCCAAACUGUAAGGGGUAACCUGUAGCUCUUAACCACUAACAUUGAACGUUUGGGUGAAGCUGAUCAAAAUGGUAAUGAGGAUGAGACCUCAUGCUCUUAACCCUGGCCAGGGUGAGCUCAUGACACGGAAAGCGUGGGGAUCUAGAAAGUGGGAUCCUUUUCCACUUGACAGACUCUGGACAAAAGAUCUGUGGCACAUGUUCAGAAGCAUCAGCACGUAGUGCGAGCAUAAAGAACGACACACUGAAUAACGGGGGAUUGACUAUUGAUUCCUUUUAUCCGUCAAUUGCCUCUUCUCUUGGAGGUCUUAUCAAAUAUAACACAUGCCUCAUCUUGGAGGUUUUUAGGCACAAUUUUAAACAAACACAAACAGAGCCUCUGAAGGAGGACUUGCCAGCAAAAUGCCUGCCAAAAAGGUGACAGAACUUCAGACUACAUGAAGUAAGAAGCUAACUACCUGAGUGGUGUGUCAACCACAAUCCAAUGCUCAAGCAAGAGCUAAAGCAAGCAAGCAGCUAAGGUACCUGUACAAAGACUAAACAGUUAGUACUUCAGUCAUAAACCCAGAACAAGCAGUGAAACCCUCUAACAGUUGCACAAUUCAAUGCAUAAGGGCCCUAACACUCAAAUGCUCAUGAACUCACCACAUCAAUCAAGACCCUACAAAACAAACAUAGGUCAGUACUCAAUGCAUUUGCAUCUCACAAGGUGAGAACAAACCCCAUCAUCAAUGAUAAGUAUCCAAUCCUGAAACAAUAGACAAAGUUAGUCUAUAUACAUUAAACCAAUACAACAAAGCAUAAGCAAACCAAUGGCAUAAGAUGAAUCAACGAUCACAAGCCCCAAACAGAACCAUAUGAACCCCUAAACAUCAAUCACCAUGGCCAAAGAUCCAUCAUAACCUCAAAUACCAUUCAAUUGCUUCAAAAGCUCCAAAAUAGGCCCCAAAUGAACUUCCAACUUAGAAAAUUCAUACCAAAUCAGAAAUGCAUGCAAUGACUUUGAGAUUUUUUGUAUAAGUUCCUCAUGCCAUGGAUGUUCAACAUGCAAAAGAUUAAAUCCAGAAUGAUGCAAAUUCUAUGUGAACAAAAAUGCACCAAUUCAAUGUCAAAAAUGUGACACAAAUUGUCACAUUUAUCUCUAUGUGUCAAACAUGAUGAUAACAUGUGAGAAAAAAUCCAAACUAAUGACCAAUAAUUCAUAUCAUGUGGGAAUGUCAUGUAUGAAAAAGAGUGGAUCAAAUGGCUCAAAAUUGAGGAUUUCACAACACAUUGAAUGUACUAGGUCAAUUUGGCACAACCUUGAUUCAAAAAUCCCCAUAUAAAAAUCCAGACAUCCAAAAUUCAUGAAUUCAGCACCAUAAAAGGGUAGACAUCAAUACAAAACUAUGAAAAAAAAUUGGGACUCAUUUGGAUCAUUUUUGCAUUUUUUAUGAAUUUUACAAAAUGAGCAAAAUAAUUGGAAUAUCAAAUAAAAAUGGAGGGAAAUGAAAAUGUUUGAAUAAAUCCAGAAAAAUCCCCAGCCAUCAGAUCUGGCGCGUGCAUCAGAUCAAUGGUCCAUGUUUGAAUGAUGAAACGCUGCGUUUCAUUUAUGACUCAGCACACAAAGUCAUCAGUUCAGCGCACGCGUGGCCAGUCAAAGCAAUCUUAGCCAACCAAACCUCCACGCAUGAGGCCAUGUGGCUUACACAUCAGCCAAACCCUAGCACACGCAGACGCCGGAGCUCCUGCUCCGGUCGUCUUCCCCGAUGAGACUCCGGUGGCUCCCAUGGCGGCGCCACCACAAAAAUUUCCAGAAAUUCCUCAAACCUAUACCGUUCGAUUCGUCUUUCCACGCUGGUUCCAAAUAUGCUAUUGGAUUAUCCUAAAUCUCCCUAGAUUUUGCAAAUCGAAGAGAGAAAGUUUCUAGAUCCAAACUUCCAGUCAACACUACAUCCUCAAUUCUCACUCAAUCUCAGUUCUAAACACAUAUUCGUAACCUACUCAACAAGAUCUACCAUUAUAUGACCUAAAAACAGCAAAAGGAGAUAAUGAAAUUGAAGUCACUUGAAAUUGAAGCUUUCUUAUAAUCACGAUCUCACGUGCUCAACUGCUCCAGAUCCACUCCUAUGAGCUUCCUUUGAAGCUUUAUGCAAGAAUCAAUGGCUGAAACCUUCUGAAUUCACCUCAAUUUCCAAAUUCGAUCCAUAUGAUGAAGCUCUUGAACUGCAUGAUUUCUUGAUGAAUUGCACCAAAUGAUGGAUGAUUUUUGAUCAGUGAAGCAUGAGGAUCAAGAAUAUGUAAUAAUAUUUGAGGCUUGUAUGGAGAAAAAUCAAAUUCGAUUGAGAGAAAAUUUUGGAGACACUAUUGAAUUCUAGAUCUGAAAUGGUUGUUAUGGCAGUUAUGAUUAGGGUUUUGCUAUUUAUAUUCCUUGCUAAUGACACUGUUAAUCAUCUUAACCAUUCACUAAUCAUGAUUAGUGAGUUAUCAUGUCAUUUGCCAAAAUGCACAUUAAGCUCUGAUGGCCAUAAUCCACGUGUUUAAUCCCAUGCUAAUGCUUAAAUUCACUCAAAAUCAACCAAGGGUCAUGAUUUGAAGAUCAUUUAGCUUGCAUCUUAAGCCAAGAAUGAAUGGUGAAGAUUUGCUUCAUUUUGAACAUGUGUGGAAUAUAUGACUUUUGACCAUGAUUCCUUUGCACAAUUGAGCCAAAUGAUGUCAUUUUGAGAUGCCUUGAACAUGAGAAGCAUUUUGCAAAAAGAAUGAACCAAUUUGAAGCAUUACACCAAAAGUUAUGCCAUUUUGAAUUUCCAUGCACACCUUGUGAUCAAAUGACCAUAACUCCUCAACCAUUCAUCAUAUGGACAUGAAUUAGGACUUUUUGGAAAGGGGAUACAAAGAUCUACAACUUGCAUGUUCACCAAAAAUCCAUUUGAAACUUCUUUGACAUUGACAAGUCAAGUUGAAAGUGGUCCAAAAACUUGCCAAAUUUGGAAACUUUGAAUUAUAGGUCAUUUUCCAUUUUUAGUAACUUUUGUCAUGACCUUUGAAUCUUCAAUAUGGAUGUUUAGAAUGAUGAAUAGACCCCAUUUGAACAUGAUUGAGGUGUCUCAACUCAUUUCCCCACCUCAAAGCCCUCAGUUGACUGCAUAGUUGACUUUUGGUCCUCAGAUGACCUUGAGAUGUCCUGAUCAACUUAAGCCUCUACCACUUGGUGAAAUAACUUCAAAAUGAAACCCUAGCUCAUGUAAGCUCCUUAUAAUAAUCAUGUGAUCCUCAUCCUAAGAAAAUACCUCAUCUCUCUGAGAAACCCUAGUUGGAAGAACUGCAUUGAUUAGGGUUGACCAAAAGUCACAACCCUAAUCCAGAUGAACUUGAGGAUGCACUCUGAAACCCUUGAUGAUGAUAGAACCAUGAUGAUGGUAAUAUAUCCUUGCAGAUAAGAUAAUCCUCAAGACCUGUGAAGAAUCAAGAAACCCUCAUUAGAGCCCACCCUCAGAUGGUUGAUGAUCAAUUCAUAAAGACCCUCAGGCUUGAAUCACCUAACUUUCCCCAUCUUUUGAAAAGACUUUGGAGGAUGAACUCCUCAUUUUCAUAUGAGAUGCAAAAUGCAAUGCCUGAUGCCCUAAAACAUGAAAUGCAAAGUCUCAAACUAGUCUCAAGAAGAGGAGGGCAAAUUUUGAGGUGUUACACCAUGUCGAUCACAUAAACCCUAGCCUGGAGACUUAACCUUUAUUCCAUGCCUUGUGUGAUAAAACCCUUGAACCCAUGAUUUUUAUGUUUUACGAAUAUAAGUGGAAUAUGUUAUGAUACAAUGAAUAUGUAGAUGAGAUGAAUGCUUAUCGGGAUAUGCAAAUGAUUUAGGUUAGUGACCUAGAUGAACUUGUGAAAAGUAGGGUGAAUUUUGGGGUAUGACAUCUGCCCCUAUUUAAUCUUCUCAAACCUGAAUGUAUGGAUAGUAACAGCUUCCCGACAUCAAGGUAGGAAAGGAUUAAAUACUAAAAUAUCGAAAAAUUUUCCCACCAGGAACAAAUGAAAUGUGAAGAUAGGUCACGAAGGAACUCUCCACUGAGGUAUGGGAUGAACAAAGUAUCUUUUGUGCAGGACAACUGCUGGGGAUUGAAAAGUUAUUUAGUCGAUGGAUAUUUAUUAUUCUUUUUUUUUCUUCACAAUAAGCUCUCUAUAUUUUUAUUAACAAGCUUUUUCUUUUUCUUUUUGUUUUUUUUCAAAACUCCCUGGCAAGCACUGAGAAUUUUCCGUCGGGGAGGAAGGGUGGAAGAUGUUGGAAGAAAUGAUUUGCCAGGUGGAACCUAGACUUUGAUGUGAUGGCUAGGGUAUUGAGACUUUGUUAACCAAAGGGUUAAGCAGGAAGAUGAGGUCUACACAAAUGAGUGAUGGAUAUCAAUAUAGACGAGUAUCGAAAGGGGUCAGCAUGGCUGAAAGCGGGAGACCAGCAUGAACGAAUACGAGCAAUGAGACAAAACGAAGGAAGGUUAAAAUAUCAAUACGGUGAGUAUUGGAAAAAGGAUUGACACAUAAAAGGGAAUCGACACAGAUGAUUUUAUUUUGCAAGAAAGGUAAACACAAACGAGUGUUAAGAAUCCACAUGGACGAGUAUCGAGAAGCAAAUCAGCACAAACGAGUGUUGAUGACCGAUACAAAUGCGUAGCAAAAAAUGUUUAACACAAACGAGUAUCUCAAUACAUACAAUUAUUAGAAAAAGAGGUUUUAACACAGACGAGUGUUGGAUACCAAUACAGACGAGUAUCAGGGAAAGGUUUAACACAAACGAGUGUUAGAGACCAAUACAGACGAGUAUCAGAAAAAGGUUUAACACAAACGAGUGUUGGCAAACUUAUGUCUGCUCAUACAGGGAAAGGUUUAACACAAACGAGUGUUAGAGACCAAUACAGACGAGUAUCAGAAAAAGGUUUAACACAAACGAGUGUUGGCAAACAAUACAGACGAGUAUUCGAAAAAGGUUAACACAAACGAGUGUUAGAUACCAAUACAGACGAGUAUCAGAAAAAGGUUCAACACAAACGAGUGUUGGAGACCAAUACGGACGAGUAUCGGAAAAAUAUUUAACACAAACGAGUGUUGGAGACCAAUACAAACAAGUAUCAGGAAAUUUUAACACAAACGAGUGUAUCAAUACAAAUGAAUAUUGGGAAAAGAGGGACCGACACGGACGAGUGGGAUAUCAAUACAGACGAGUAUUGAAAAAAGGUGAUACACAUUGACGAGUGAGGGGAUAUCAAUACUAACGGGUAUUGAAAAAAGAGAUAAACACUGACGAGUGCUUAACUGGUUUUUUGAGAGAUAAGGAUUACCGGGUAGGAACAAAGUUUAAAAGGUUUUUUCCAAUGAGGGUUGGACUUUGAAAAGGUGCCAACGGAAAUGGACUGUUGAAUAGUGCCAGGAAAGUUUUGGGCUUGCUUCUUUCUUGUUAGAGAACUUCAUGCUAUGCUGGAUGAUAUGCAUGAAUGUGAUGAUAUGAAUUAUGCAUGACAGGUUGAUGCAAUGAUAUUAGGGUCUACAGAUGCCCCAAUCUUAGGUACAAUGUAAUGAAUGCUGAGAAAAAUUAGCUUGGGUUGCAAGGCUUAUGAUUUAUGGAGUGUGGGUUGCGUCUCGCAUGACUUCCCGACAUCUGACUUCUUGAUAUUGCUUGAGGAAGAAUUUGACAUGGACCUCCUGAUGCCCUAGGCUGGGUCUGCAAAGCUUUCACAAGCAGGGAUAAGACCUUACUCUCUUAGGACCGUCUUGCCCCAGCCUUUUGGGUAUCUGCACGGAUUUCCCCAGUCACAAGCUAUGAAGUAACUUUGUCGUGGAUUAUUUAAAUCUGGCUUAAACCGGUGUCUUGGAACUACAUUCCCAUGAUUAACCAUCUUGGAGAUAUUGACUUCUUGUGCUCUUGGGGUGGCCUACCCCAGUAUGAGCCUUUUAGGGAGUGCCCCUGACCAAUUGGUAUUUAGAGAGAUUUACCGAAUCUCGACGUGAUUACUUCUGAUCGGCUGGAUCUUAUGGAGAUUUCUCGACGUGACUGCCUCCAAUCGACUGAAUCUUAUAGCGGUUCUGUCUUUCUACUCAACAGAGUCUUCAAAAUUCUACCUUGGUAUAAUCAAGAGAAAUGGCUUGCCCCUCCUCAACGGAGGUCUCAGGCGUUCUACACUUUUGAUAUCAUCAAGUUCCUCAAUUCAUGUUCAUUGUAACAGAUUCUUGGAUGUCAAAUGCUUACUCACGAGUAAGACAAGUUGAUUUUGGAAAUGAUAAUGCAAAUGUCAUGUUUACGCAUGUUUUGAAAUUCCAUUUUAUUCACUGGAGUUAUGACAUAUAGCGAAUGAACCACUAAUGGGAAUGCCAUAUCGAUACCGACGCAAAUGAUAAUCAAAUCAUUAAGAAGUCAGUUUAACACGAUUAUACUGACUAUAACAUGCUUUCGAACUAAACCAUGCUUCAAUUAGGUCUUUUGAGGGUUGUAAUGUGGCAUAGUUCACGGUUUUCAAAAAAAAGGAUUUAUGGCUCGAAACCUAUUCUAACCCACCCACUCUUCGUGAUGUUCUCCACUCCUAUGUUCAGCUAGUUCGAUACAAGCGCCCGCCUUCCAAUAGGUAUUUGGGGGUGAAAAUGAACCCACGAGAUUCUCAGAGUCGCAGUCAUGCACCUUCUGUUUGGUUUGUAGCCACGCGAUUUUGCUCUUAAUGAGGAUUUUCUUAUGAUUACUCUUUGUUUGAUUCAUUCUUUCAUUUCCCUACUUUUGCUGGAUUGAUUCUGAUUUGCAAUCCACAGGGAUCCCCUAAUUUUUUCCUAAGUCACUUGUUCUCAAGUUUCGACUUAGCGAGCUUCUUGUCUUUUCUUUUGAUUUUUUUGAUUUUUGGGAAUAACUCGUGUGACAUUUGUUCGAUUGAUUGGAUAGGUUGUGACUGCCUCGUGUCUCUGUGGGUGAGAGACAACCAAUGUGGACUAAUUGUUUCCGACCUCUUUUGAGGGAUAAGAUAUGGUUGAUCCUGAGAUAGGACACUCCUCUUUUGAAGUUUGAACGCCUGUCCAAACUAACUGACGACUACCCUGCCCCGGGUUAAGAUUGAGGGUUUUAUAUUCAGAAAGAACUCCUACUCCUUGGCUCGAAGGGGUUAUCUAGAUAUUAUCUUCCUUAUAACUCCGGUGUUUAGGAUUCGAAACAAUGCCUUACAUCAUCAGCAAUGUUAAAUUCAAAAUCAUACAUGCAGUGAUAUCAUGUUUUUGAUUUCGUCAUUCUCUUUUUGAUUUUGCUUAACAAAAGUUUGAUAUCGAUGGAAAAUAUGAGUGGGCACGAAUGAAUUUAUUCAAAACAAUUCAUAUUUAUUUCAAUUUCAUUAUUAUUAAAAAACAAACGAGUUUAUUACAAGUGAAUAUCUACAAAUGACAAACAAGAAAAAUUACACGUGAAAAAUGAUUGAACAAACUAAUAAUUACUGGAGUGAUCAGCCUUAUUCCUCGCACGGCUUAGGGUCUUGGUGCUUGCAGAAGCUGACGGGAUUGUCCCACAGAUACAACUCCUUCAAAUCUACCACUGCUUUAACUACAUCAUUGCAGAUGUACUGGCCUGCGCGGGGUUGUUCAUGACAUUUGGAACAGGUGGCGCAAACGAUAUAGCUUUUGAUUUGAUCAAGUCUUGGACUUUAUGCUUCAAAGCUCUAUAGUUCUCAACAAUGUGUCUAGGUUCUCUAGAAUGGAAUUCACACCUAGCAUUAGCAUCAUAUCCUUGAGGGAGAGGUGUUGGGGGAGGUCCCAACUCUCUAUAUUGCACCAAGGAGUCUCGAAGCAAGUGAGCAAGCAGUUGACUGUACGACAUCGGGAUCAGGUCUAUCCUUCUGUAUGGCUUCCUCAGUUUUUGGUUCCCCUGCGGAUAAGGACCAUCAUUGUGGAGCGUAGGGUUGUUGAUACUGCAUCGAUGGAGGACGAGUUGGGAUAACAUACGUUGGUUGCUGGUACGAAUUUGGUGCUACUGCUGCCACCGAAUAGUAUGGCAUUUGGUAGGCUCCAACUUCUCUUUUGGCUAUCACGGAAAGAUUGGUAUCCCCUUCCUUCUUUGUGGGGAAUCCGAAAUGGGAUUUCUUUGCUCCACUGGCCAAAGCUGUUGUAUCCUGUAUCUUGCUGAUCUUCAAGCCGUUCUCAAUUCGCUCACCAGCAAUAACCAAAUUUGAGAAUCCCGAGGUAGUGCUUCCAAUCAUUCUAUCAAGAUACGGCCCUUGAAGGGUGUCCAUGAACAUGUCUAUCAUUUCACUUUCAAGAAGAGGGGGUUGAACCCUGGCAGCUAGAUCUCUCCAAUGUUGGGUGUAUUCUUUAGAAUGAUUUAUCUGGCUUCUGAACAAGGUUUUGAAGUUGAGUCCGAUUGGGAGCCAUGUCUGAGUUAUACUGAUAAUGCUUUAAGAAGGCUUCAGCAAGUUCCCUCAAGGUUCGUAUAUGCGUGCGCUCGAGUUACAUAUACCAUUCCAGAGAAGCUCCACUAAGGAUGUCCUGGAAAAAAGUGCAUUAAGAGUUUUUCAUCAUCAGAAUAAGCAACCAUCUUUCUGCAAAAAGCUCGGACAUGAGUCUUAGGACAGGUGAUCCCUUGAUACUUUUCAAAGUUUGGAACCUUGAACUUAGGAGGAAUUUUCACGCUUGGCACUAGGCACAUAUCGGCAACAUGUAACCCAAAGGUAUUGGGACCUUCUAUCGCCUUUAAUUUAUCCUCCAUCAUAUGAAAUCUUCUUUCGAGGUCAGCUGAAGAAGAACCAAAAGCAUCAUAUACAGAAUCAACCCUUGUAGUGAAGAAAGCAUCCUUAUGGUCGUCAAUAUAAGGUUGAAUUCUCCCAUGGAAAGGGAUGUUGAAUGUCUGAGCAAAAUUUUGAUACACUAGGCCUCUCUCAGGAGGUGGUUGAGUUAUGAUCGGUGUACCAACUCCUUCUGGUGGAUUCACUGGUAUUGUCAUAACAAGAGGGUUGGCAACGAAAGCUCUAAAAUUAGCCUGACGCAUUUCCUCUUGUCCUCUAGCCAAAGCUUGUAUGGCUUCAACAAGUUGACCCACCUGGGCUUUCAUAGUGGCCAUGUCUUCCCUCAUAACAGCUUGGCUUUGCUCCAAAUGAUCCAUGAGAAGCUUCUGAUUGCGGCGCGUGUUAUAUGAAUUUUGGGAAGUCAGCUUGACCGUAGCGGGUUCUGGACAAAGGCCAAACAACAGUGAGUUUCCUUGAAUAGGUAUGAUGAAAUGCAAUUAUGAAUGCAACAUGUUUUUAUGUUUCCUAAAGGAAUGCAUAUGCUUAAUGAUAUGAUGAAAUGGCAUACAACAUCAUGGAUCCAAGGGUUCAUAGCAUCUUAGAAGACCUGAUCGUGGAGCUCAAGGUAUGUUGAAGGUAUAUUUCCCUAUAAGAAACAACCAUGUCCCCUCACAAGGUGAGUACUAAGACUUAUGAAGACGCUUAGAUUCACGGAUCAUAAGGCAAAAGUAUCGUUAUCACCACAAGAUGACUUGUCGGUUAAUAAUACCCUCGGGAUGAUCUCCUCUAAGUGAGGUUUCCCUCAACUUCGAAAGCCAUGGGUCGUCUAAGGUCCUUGGAGUCAUGGACACUCCUUGGAAGGAUGGCUCUUAGCGCGAACGUGACUCAUGUGCCAAAAAAACUCCAAAAAGAAUCUAUUCUAAGUGGGAUGUGCAUGCCUCCCUCUCAAGAAAACCACGUCUGAUAGGUCAACACGAAGUCCCUCAUAUCUUAUGUUUACUCUCUAAGCCUGUGUAUUGGGCUUUUCAUUCAAACAGUAGAUCCAAUCCCACAAUGUCACAACAAGGUACAUAUAACACGAAUAUACAUAACAUGAAUGGAUAAAUAAAGAAAACGAUAACAGAAGAUAAAAAUCCAAGGAAAAGGAUAAAGGCAAGCUAGGCUUGAAUCGCUUAUGGGAACUCCAUAUUGUCCCCAACAGAGUCGCCAGCUGAAGCGCCGCGAGAAAUACUGAGUCACCACCGGAUUUUAUUUAUUCCAAAGGAAAGGGAAAAUAGCGAUAAAACCCCAAAUGAGAGAAAUGGUCUCGCAACCAAGAGAGGAUUCGGAAGCCGGCUAUGCAAGGAAAAGGUAUUAGCACCCAUCAAAUCCAUGGUACUCCAUGGGGACCACUUACUCGUAUCAAUGUGUAUGGAUGUUUAUUUAUCUAUAAGUUGCUUGCUACCGGGAAUGACAUGAAAAAAAUGAGAUGGGAGAGAAAAUAAGUUUUAAGUUAGUGUGCUUGCCAAGGAUUUGGGCCCUCGUGCCUACAUAUCCCCAUACAUGCAAUAGGGAAGUCAGAGCUUCAUAGUUCGGCUCAAAAAUGGAGUAUUUGUUCGGUUGUUUUUACUGAACGGUAUUGAUGUUCGUGCACUACUGUUCACUCUCUUGUAUACUCUGUCAUGGGAGCAGAAAGUAUUUGCUUGUUUGCGGUAAAGUGGAUACGCUUGGUUCGCACUCUAGCAGUUAAACAUUACUUGCUCGCACAUGGAGGCUUAAGCUUCGUUCAUGGUAGAACGGAAGUAAAAUAUUCUUUGAAAGGUUUUGAAGAGAAAUCCCUAAGGAAAAAGAUGAUUUGAGUUGUUCGGGUUGAUUUUAUGUGUGGAGACAAGCAUAAGACCCUUGGCUAGAUACAGUCAACGGACCGAUAACUCGGGAGUUGAGAGGACAAUGUUGUCAUAAUCACUCUUUUUCAUCCGAAAAUAGAAUUGAGUUGUGAAAAGAGUUUGACAAGUCUAAUCAUUGGAACUUAGAGGGCGACGAGUAUUUGACCCUUGACUAAGUAUGGUCAACGAUUAGAGUAAUUGGGAAUCGAGAGGACCAUGGAGUCCUAACUAAUCUUUUUCUCCCUACUAGCACCUAGAUCUAACUUGUUUGAAUUAUUAAAUGUUUUAAGGGGGAAAGUCAAGUGUCGAGUCCUCAGGCUAGGAAUGGCCGACAACCCAAUUACUUGAAUGUUGUGUACAAACACGUACACCCCAUUUGGCAUUCCAAUUUGUUAUGAAAAUGAUUUUGAAAAAGGUAUUUGAUAUUGGAUCAAGCAUUUGAAUUUAUCAUGAAAAUAGUGAGUGAAAAAUGGAGGUGAGAGAUAGAAUGGAUCAAAAUCAACAUGUGGACACAAAAUAAAAAAUGAGUUAGCAUGAGAUAAAGUCGAAUGAAUGAGAAUGAUGCAACAAUAUGUAAGUACAUAUAAUGGUUAGAAUCGAUUCGAAAGGUAAUGGAUUAGUCAAUGAAAAACAAUCAAAGAUCUAUCCUAUGAUCGCGGCAAAUGGAAUUAUACCUACAAAGUAUUCAUCAUCUAAAUUGAAAUGGGAUUUUCAAUUUAAUCAUAUGAUCAUAAACCAAAGGAAUCGAUUAAAUGGACAAUUAAAGGGAACAUUAAUUCUAAAGGGUAAAAUCCACCUAAACAUGAAUUAGGAAUUACUAAUCAAAAUGUGAAAUUCACAAUCCAAAUUCAAGAAUUGAAUCUAAACUACAUGAUUGUACAAAUUAAUCACACAAUAGUCCAAUUGAAUGGGAAUUAACCUAAUGGGGAAAUCAUGGUAAAAUCAAUUAUCUAACUAUAUUAAUCUCAAAAAAAAUUCACAAAAUGAAAUAACAAAAAUCUAAUUACUAAAACCUAAUCAAAACAUGGUUAGUAAAUCAAGAAUUAAUUCUGGAAAAUUAAGAAAUUAAAUCUAAUUUAAAAACUCGAUUAAACCUAAUUUCUAAUUAGAUACCUAAUUAAACCUAAUUAACUAGUCAAACAAUUAAUCAACAAAAAGAAUGAAUUAAAUCCUAAUAUCAAACAUAAAGAAGUUACCUAAUUCUAGAAUCGAAAUUCACAAAACAGGAAUAAUGUUAAUCACACAAAAGAGAAAUUAAAAAUAAACUAACAAGAAUUAAUCAAUGACUAGUGAGGGAUUAUGCACAAAGUUAUGAGCAAAGCAAUGGGCCAUAAGGGGGUGUGAAUGUUAAUUGCUCGUUGGGCCAAAUGCCCAGUCCUUGAAAACCCAUGCUUGAUCCAACACACGCCUGUGAUGAAGACUCUCCAACACUCCGAGACCAUGAUGCCAAGAUUCCACAAGGAAUGGCAGCAUCGAAAUUCCGCUCGAUAAAACCCGGUUCCCAAUCGUGAAAUCUCAAACUCCUUAAAUCCAAGACUAAUUGCGAGCAUCUUUUCUUCUGUACAAAGAGGAAGACGAGAUCUGAUUCGUGUUCAGAAUCAUCGUGGAACAAGAAUUUUGGACUGAAAUAGUAUGUGAAAAAAAUAGAAGCGACUGAGGAAUGAGCCCUACCGGAGUUAGGAACCGCCUAUAACAUUGUCGUUAAAGGUGAAGUUAGAUUUGUACAUGUUGUUUGGAGAUGAAAGCAAAAUCCUCUGCGUUCGUGAUUUAUGGUGAGAUGAGGAUGAAGGCCUUCACUUUUCGUUUUUGUUGAUUGAGACAAAGAUGAGAUCUCUGACUCCCACCGUCGUGAAUUGGUAGGCCUCUACUUCCUUUUUCAUUUUCUUCUGUUUGAUCUUCUUCUUCAAUUUUGUCUCUUUUCUUCUGUUUCAAUUCUGUUUCUCUUCUUCUUCUGUGUGUGGCCGCGUUGUUGUUGAGGGUUAGGAUUGGUGGAGGUUGAGAGUUACGCGAGGUGUGGUUUUUCUACAAGGUGUCGAAGUGUUAUCACGGUGAAGGGAUUGGGAAAGAGAGGUUCGGAUGGUCAGUUCAAGGAGAGAGAUUGGAGGGUUUUGGAGGAUGAUGAUGUUUGUGUGAAUGGAAGAUUAUGGACGAGAAGUUAUGGUUGUGAAUAGAAGAUGGGGGGUGGUUGAGAAAGAAGUUUGUAUCCGUUUCUUGCAGGGCGUUGAGAAAACGGUUGAGAAGAAAAACUGAAGAUAAAUUCCAUUCUCCGGGUGCAGGGGAAGCGAUUUUGGUUAAGUAAUUUGUUGUAGUUUUUUGUUGAAGAGAGAAAAAAAAUCGCUCCUGGGGUUGUAUUGUUAUGUAAUUCUCUUUACGUUGUUGGUGAAUGAAGAAUGCUGUUAUGGGAAGUUUUUUUGGGCUGAGAAAAUCGGUUAAUAGUUGGUUAUUCGGUUGAAUAGUUGGUAGGGUUGAGAGAAUUUAGUUACGUUUUAGUUAUUGCGUUGGUGAGGGGAAUUUAGGAGGUGAUUCUUGUUCUGGAAAUUGUUGAGGUUCAGAGUUAUCAGCAAAAUUCUCUUUUGAUUGUUGGAGGUUCAAAAUCAGUUAUGAGUUUGUUAGGGAAGGUUCAUUAAAUGAUGAGGUUCUCUUUCUAUUAUCCUAGAAAUUAUCUCUUCUACUUCUCUUUCUGUUAUAUGGAGGGUGAAGUAGUUAGAAUGAGAGGUUGAUUUCAAGUUGUUGAAGGGUUUCAUAUUGGAGUUGUUGGUUGAAGCUUUUGAUCGUUAUCAGUUAUGGGAAUUCAAUGGGUUAGAGGGAAUGAGGAGGGCGGUUUCGGUUCUGUUUUUGAGGUUUUUUAUGAGGGUUCCUUGAAGGGUUAUUGGAGUGGAUUGUGAGAUUUUGUUGAAGUUGGAAGUUCAUUUUCUGCAUGUUAUCGGUUCCAUCCUGUUGCCGAUUCUGGAAGUGUUUUGUUAGAGUUGUUUUCCAAAAGCAGGUUGUUGUUAUCAGUUUUUCUUUAAUGUACAUUAAUUAAUGGAUUAAUGAUUAUGGAUGUAAAAGAUGAAUUUUUAGAUUCAAUUGGAAUUAAUGGAUAAUUGGGUUUUUACAGGUUUGGAUUAAAAUCGGAUUGGUAAUAUGGACAUGGUUU
rnacentral:lncRNA from 1 species